UUCCAGGCACUUAAAAAUGGAUACAGAAAGACUAGAGGGUGGGCAGUGUUGUGUGUGAGAUUGGAAAUGGGUAUAACAGAUUCCAGAGUCUGCGGCUUCACAGGGCGUUUUCUGUCCCAUUUCACCAAGUUGCUCUUACACUCUAGGAUUGCAUUGCGGGUUCAGGAAGUUGAAGAUUUGUCCAGGAGCAGAUAGCUGAAGAGAGAGAGAAAGAAGAGAGAACGGCUUACAGCUCAGGUCCUCUCUCCAUGCUUAGGAACCACUACAAAUGCUACUGCCUUCAGCCUCAUUUUGUUUCCCCCUGGAAACCACAUGUGUACUUUGUUUGCAACAGUAUGGGUAUGGUUAUUUGUUAGUUCUUACACAUUUAUUUUAAAAUCUAAAGAAGUAGUGCCAUAAAGCUUUAUCAGGAUGUAUUUAAAAUGAAAAUAGUCUCUUGUUAUCUAGCAUGCAACUGAUUCAUUCAAUUUGGUUUUGUUAGUCAGAAUCUUACCAGAAGUCUGCCCAGGUGAUAGUUUAGUUGAGAGCAU